rnacentral:rRNA from 1 species
GCGACGACGGGUAGCCGGCCUGAGAGGGCGACCGGCCACACUGGGACUGAGACACGGCCCAGACUCCUACGGGAGGCAGCAGUGGGGAAUAUUGCACAAUGGGCGAAAGCCUGAUGCAGCGACGCCGCGUGAGGGAUGACGGCCUUCGGGUUGUAAACCUCUUUCAGCAGGGAAGAAGCGAAAGUGACGGUACCUGCAGAAGAAGCGCCGGCUAACUACGUGCCAGCAGCCGCGGUAAUACGUAGGGCGCAAGCGUUGUCCGGAAUUAUUGGGCGUAAAGAGCUCGUAGGCGGCUUGUCACGUCGGAUGUGAAAGCCCGAGGCUUAACCUCGGGUCUGCAUUCGAUACGGGCUAGCUAGAGUGUGGUAGGGGAGAUCGGAAUUCCUGGUGUAGCGGUGAAAUGCGCAGAUAUCAGGAGGAACACCGGUGGCGAAGGCGGAUCUCUGGGCCAUUACUGACGCUGAGGAGCGAAAGCGUGGGGAGCGAACAGGAUUAGAUACCCUGGUAGUCCACGCCGUAAACGUUGGGAACUAGGUGUUGGCGACAUUCCACGUCGUCGGUGCCGCAGCUAACGCAUUAAGUUCCCCGCC